rfam:Loxodonta africana unplaced genomic scaffold scaffold_32, whole genome shotgun sequence.
CUCUUGGCUUCUUUAGAAGCCAUAAAAUUAUAUAAAUUAAUAAUUU